rnacentral:rRNA from 1 species
AUUAGAGUUUGAUCCUGGCUCAGAUUGAACGCUGGCGGCAUGCUUUACACAUGCAAGUCGAACGGCAGCACGGGGGCAACCCUGGUGGCGAGUGGCGAACGGGUGAGUAAUGCAUCGGAACGUGUCUUCGAGUGGGGGAUAACGCACCGAAAGGUGUGCUAAUACCGCAUAAUCUCUACGGAGAAAAGCAGGGGAUCGAGACCUUGCGCUCUUGGAGCGGCCGAUGUCUGAUUAGCUAGUUGGUGAGGUAAAGGCUUACCAAGGCGACGAUCAGUAGCUGGUCUGAGAGGACGACCAGCCACACUGGGACUGAGACACGGCCCAGACUCCUACGGGAGGCAGCAGUGGGGAAUUUUGGACAAUGAGGGAAACCCUGAUCCAGCCAUGCCGCGUGAGUGAAGAAGGCCUUCGGGUUGUAAAGCUCUUUCAGCCGGAACGAAACGGUCACGGCUAAUACCUGUGACUACUGACGGUACCGGAAGAAGAAGCACCGGCUAACUACGUGCCAGCAGCCGCGGUAAUACGUAGGGUGCAAGCGUUAAUCGGAAUUACUGGGCGUAAAGCGUGCGCAGGCGGUUUUGUAAGUCAGAUGUGAAAUCCCCGGGCUUAACCUGGGAACUGCGUUUGAAACUACAAGGCUAGAGUGUGGCAGAGGGGGGUGGAAUUCCACGUGUAGCAGUGAAAUGCGUAGAGAUGUGGAGGAACACCGAUGGCGAAGGCAGCCCCCUGGGUUAACACUGACGCUCAGGCACGAAAGCGUGGGGAGCAAACAGGAUUAGAUACCCUGGUAGUCCACGCCCUAAACGAUGUCAACUAGUUGUCGGGUCUUAACGGACUUGGUAACGCAGCUAACGCGUGAAGUUGACC